AUACCACCUAAGACAAAUCCACCAACUUAAAUGGCGAAGGGAGAGUUUGGCAGUUUUAUUGCUAAGGCAAUGGGAUGAACUUAUUGCUGAUGCCAAAGCUGCUGCCAAGGGAAAGAUUUGGGAUUUUUUGGGUUCAAAAAAGUCCUUACUGGAACAAAUCAAAAAAACUGGUAAGGAGAUAGAUGGAUUAACUGAAUUACUAUUGGCUGUGCGGCAAAAAAUUAAGCAAGCUGAGAAAGAACUGAAGGUCAUUGAGAAAGAUAUAGAGUCCUUGCAGCAAAAACUACAAUCGAUGGAUCAGAGGAAAGGUGAAGCACACCACCAAUGCAUUCUCAAACAGAGAAAACAACUUUUUGACCAAAAAGAAAAAAACAGAGAAAACAUACUGAGUGAUGAGACAUGAUGAGUUUAUUUGGUGUGUUAAACGUUAAUGAGAACAAGACUUUGCCACUUGGUAGUUGACAAGUCCUUAUCUCAAGACGAGGAACUCCACCCACCAAAUACCAAACUACAAUGUGAUCGUAAGGGAUUCGAUUCGACUUCUACGUUUAGAGAUUAUGCUCUAAAUGCAUUUAAUGUAAUUUUGCAAUGUAAAAUUAUUCUAAAGGUAUUUAAAAUUA